GCCACUUCCACACGCUGUACAUGGAUCUGCCACAGCAUCCUGAGAAAUGUCAUGGGUUUUGUUGUAUGUCUGUGAGCAGCUUUGACAUUUUGUUAGCGAUUCUGCAUCCUGGCAUCACAUACACAAAUAUGAGGAGCUGCGUUUCACCAGAGUAACAGCUCAUCAUGACGUUGAGGUCAUAUUGUCAGGAUGCAAAGUGUAUGAAGCAAACCAUGGAUGUCCUUGAAACCCCGGAAAUGGAUAGAAAUAUUAUAAUGUUUAAAUGUACGAUUGUAUGUGCUAAUAAAAGUAAUGUUUUUAUGUUAUGAAAAGUCUCAUACAAUGUUUUUGUGUAAAAAAACUACUUAUGUUCAAUAAUUACAGUAGGCAAUAAAGAAUUUACUGUACGCCCCUGAGGAAGCAUUUGGAGUGAAACCCGGGUCGGGCAUGAACAGUUGGCUGGUUUUAUGUGAUUUAUAUGCUUUUUUACAUCUAUGCUUGUAAGUAAAAUAAAUAUUUAUAUGGUA